GAUGAAGAACGUAGCGAAAUGCGAUAAGUAAUGUGAAUUGCAGAAUUCAGUGAAUCAUCGAAUCUUUGAACGCACCUUGCGCCCUUUGGCCAUUCCGAAGGGCAUGCCUGUUUGAGUAUCAUGAACACCUCAACUCUUUAUGGUUUUCCAUGAUGAGCUUGGACUUUGGGGGUUUUGCUGGCCUAUGGUCGGCUCCUCUAAAAUAAAUCAGCUUACCGGUGUUUGGUGGGUAUCAUGGGUGUGAUAACUAUCUACGCUUGUGGUUUUUCCACCAGGUAACCUUCGACAGCGGAGGUUCACUGGAGCUCAUAGAUGUCUCUCCUCAGCGAGGACAGCCCUUUGAAUGUUUGAUCUCAAAUCAGGUAGGACUACCCGCUGAGCUUAAGCAUAUCAAUAAGCGGAGGA
rnacentral:misc_RNA from 1 species